rnacentral:miRNA from 1 species
UGAAGACUGCCUUCGGUGGCAUGAUGUUGGCAUAGCUAUUGCCUCCUGUCUUGCUAUCAAUUAGGAUGUCUUUAUAGUGGUUGCUAUUAGCUUAA